UGGGUCUCCUCAGCCUAAGGCGUUAGGACUUCCCGCUCAGCAAUGCCCCCAGGCCCUUGGGGGAGACGCUUCUGCUUGUGGGGGCUCUUUCUGUGGCUCCGCGGCAGCGUUGGAAGCUCAGGGGAUGCACCUCAUACCCCACAGCCCAACUGCACUGACUUCCAGAACGCCAGGCUCCUUCAAGGCACCCAUCUCAAUGUCCGGUUUCUCCUCUUUACCCCUUCGGAUCCUAGCUGUGGGCAGCUAGUGGAAGAAAGUAGUGACAUCCAAAACUCUGGGUUCAAUGCCACUCUGGGAACCAAACUAAUUAUUCACGGAUUCAGGGUUUUAGGAACAAAGCCUUCCUGGGUUGACAAAUUUGUUAGAGCCCUUCUGCGUGCAGCAGAUGUCAACGUGAUUGCUGUGGACUGGGUGUACGGGUCUACGGGGAUCUACUUCUCAGCUGUGGAGAAUGUGGUUAAGCUGAGCCUGGAGAUCUCCCGUUUCCUCAGGAAACUUCUGGCGCUGGGUGUGUCGGAGUCCUCGAUCCACAUCAUUGGUGUUAGCCUGGGGGCCCACGUUGGGGGCAUGGUGGGACAUUUCUACAAAGGCCAGUUGGGACGAAUCACAGGCCUGGACCCCGCUGGACCCGAGUACACCAGGGCCAGCCUGGAGGAGCGCUUGGAUCCUGGAGAUGCCCGCUUUGUGGAAGCCAUCCACACAGAUACCGACAAUUUGGGUAUCCGGAUUCCCGUCGGACACGUGGACUACUUUGUCAACGGAGGCCAGGACCAACCUGGCUGUCCCACGUCCAUUUACUCAGGUUACAGUUAUCUGAUCUGUGAUCACAUGCGGGCUGUGCAUCUCUACAUCAGUGCCCUGGAGAAUUCCUGCCCACUGAUGGCCUUUCCCUGUGCCAGCUACAGGGCCUUCCUUGCUGGACAAUGUCUGGAUUGCUGUAACCCUUUUCUGCUUUCCUGUCCGAGGAUAGGGCUGGUGGAAGAAAGUGGUGUAAAGAUAGAGCCCCUUCCCAAGGAAGUGAAAGUCUACCUCAUGACCACUUCCAGCGCUCCAUACUGCGUGUAUCACAGCCUCGUGGAGUUUUCCUUGCAGAAGCCGAGAAACAAGGACACCAACAUCGAGGUCACCUUCCUUAGCAGUAAUGUCGACUCCCCGGUCAAGAUCACCAUGUACACCUAGGCAGGAACUCCAGGGGAAAGCAGUCAUGGCCCACGCCAACCCACAGUGCCAGAUAAGCCAAGUGAAACUCAAGUUUCAGUCUUCCAGCCGGGUUUGGAAAAAAGACCGGACCACCAUUGUUGGGAAGUUCUGCACUGCCCCUCUGCCCGUCAAUGACAAUAAACAAAUGGUCUGCUUACCUGAGCCAGUGAACUUACAAGCAAGCGUGACUGUUUGUCACGACCUGAAAAUAGCCUGUGUAUGAUGGAAGCCCGGGCAGGACACAUCUCCUUGGAAUUUCUUGAGUGAGGUGUGAUGAGGGUGUGUGUGUCUGCGCAACUUUUUCUACACCAUCACCGCUAAGGAGGAAGGCAAAACUCUUGGUUAUUUUCCCCAUAACGAGCUACCUUGGAGGCUAAAGAUGAUUCAUUUUACAGAACUUGAUUUCCAUUGCCGAUCGUACAUAGAUACCAUUUUAGCUUUCCUCUUCGUUCUUAACUGCAAUUGCCUCAUAAAUUUGGGCAUCUGUAUUUAGGAUUCAAUAGACACACACACAGAAAAAAAAUUUUAAAAAUAAAACUUUAUGGAAUAUCUGAA